AACGAACGCUGGCGGCAUGCCUAACACAUGCAAGUCGAACGAGACCUUCGGGUCUAGUGGCGCACGGGUUCGUAGCGCGUGGUAACCUGCCCUUAGGUUCGGAAUAACUCCCCUAAAGGUGUUCUAAUACCGGUUAAUGUCUUCUGACCAAAGAUUUAUCGCCUUUGGAUGGGCCCUCGUUGGAUUAGCUAGUUGGUAGGGUAAAAGCCUACCAAGGCGACGAUGCAUAGAUGGUCUGAGAGGAUGAUCAGCCACACUGGGACUGAGAAACGGCCCAGACUCCUACGGGAGGCAGCAGUGGGGAAUAUUGGAAAAUGGGCGAAAGCAUGAUACAGCAAUGACGCGUGAGUGAUGAAGGGCUUAGGGUUGUAAAGCUCUUUUAAACGGGAUGAUAAUGACAGUACCGGGAGAAUAAGCACCGGCUAACUCCGUG
rnacentral:rRNA from 1 species